UAAACCAAUGAGUGUUUCUUCUUCUCGAUGUUUAUAUAUGUUCAUUAUUGUUAAAAUGGUAUCAAAGAACUUGGUUUAAUUUCAGAUCUACAGUCAAGUGACGGAAUUUUUGGUGAAUUAUGAAGACAAUUUUCGAUUGAUCAUGUUCCGUAAUUCCACUGAAUCUUUGGUAAAUUGAUGAAGGAUAUUUUCAACUCAUCGUUGUUCCUUAAUUCUAUAAGUGUAUCAUUAUCUCUUGAUGCAGUAGUUCCAAGCCUAUAUGAAGGUCUAAAACAGGUGUCAUAAUUGCACUGCAUUAUUCCAAGCAAAGUUACAAUCAUAAUUGACGACAACCUCCCACACAAUUUUGGCAGAAUCAGAAUUAGGAAGAUUUGGAGAUCAAAGUUUCUCCUAUUAAAAUAAUUAUUUCCUUGGAUCAAUUUUAUUUGAUUUUUUAUUUUAUUGUUAAUUGUUUUUUUCGAGUGAAUAAAAGAUUGAAAAGAGAAAAGAAUGGAAACCUCUAAAGUGGGGGAAAUGGUUUUUUUUUUUGCAUUAUUAUGAAUAUUUCUUUGGAAUGGGCAUAGGUUCACAUGGUGGAUGAGAGUGCUGAAGGUGUUACUACUAAUGUUGGCUCAGGAAAUAGUAACAAUAAAAUGCCAACUUUCGAGGAGUAUGGAACCAAUUUGACCAAGUUAAUAGAAGAGGGAAAGUUUGAUCAUGUUUUGGAAAGGCAUACAUAAAUUAAACGUGUCACCCAAAUUUUAGGUUGUCGCACGAAAUCUUGUUCCUGUACUUCCAUCUUGAUAAGCCUAUGAAACUUCUCAAAUUCUUCACAAGUCUUAACCAAUUUUUGACUUGCAUUUUAAGAUGGUAUAUGGGUUUAAAAGAUACUUAGUGAAGGUAUGUCUUACUCACGUUUUAUGUUUUAUAUUUCUCUAAAGAUGUUUUUUUUUAUUUGGGAAUUUAGGUUUUAUUCAUGUUAAUGCCCAUGGAAUCAUUUCCUGGCUGUUUUUUUUCCUCCUGAUUUUGAUAUUUAGGUUUCGUUUCUUUUAUUUCACAACUACUUGUUCUUCAUUUGUCUAUUAGAGGAGCAAUUUGUUGGUUUGAGAGAAAUGACAGGUUAUGGAUACUGAUAGAAGUGAUGCAACUACUUUCUAUGAACUCAAAGUUGGUAUACGAAGAUAGUGCAUCUUACUUAACUAAGAUUAUAUAUUAUGAUUGUUAUAAUUACUGUGUUAAUGUGGUAUAUAACUUUAAUACUCUAAGUUAUGGCCUUGUGUUUGGCCAAGGUAGUCUGUAGAAUAUUUAUCAUAUGAUCUCAAUGGUUUUAUGGUUAAUUGGUUCAUUUUCUGAUUUUCAAAAUCUUAUGAUGGUGAAUAUAAACAUGUUCUUGA